GUAUAGGUUUUAUUAUUAUUAAUAAAUUAUUAUUAAAUAAUUGUAUUUAAAUAUACAGCCACAGAAGGUGCCAGCCCUGUUAUUUAAUAAUAUUUAUUAAAUUUAUAAAACUUUAGAGUCGUGUUGCUUGGAAGUGCAGCACAAAGUUGGUGAUAAACAUCAUCUAAGGCUAAAUAUUCCUAUGAAUCCGAUAGUGAACAAGUACUGUGAAGGAAAAUUGCAAAGUACUCCGGAGAGAGAGUUAAAGAGGACGUGAAACCGAUACGAUGGAAGCAUACAGAGCCAGUUGCACUAUUAUUAAUAUUUUUUUAUUAAUAAUUUUAAGCAUGGGUAUAUUGAUUAUUAAUUAGUUAUUUAUUAAAGAGUGAUAAAAUUUUUUAAAUUUUGUUAACUUUAAUAAAAUAAUUAUAUUUAUAAUUAAUAUUAUAUAUUAUUAAUGUAUUAAUAAUAUUUUAAUUAUUAAUAUAAUAUAAGACACAUGUGUUAAAUAUUAUUUAUUAAUAAUUAUUAUAUUAUUAUAAAUUAAUAA
rnacentral:rRNA from 1 species